rnacentral:rRNA from 1 species
GACGAACGCUGGCGGCGUGCCUAAUACAUGCAAGUCGAACGAACCGCGACUAAGUGCUUGCACUAAGUCAAGGGGAGUGGCGAACGGGUGAGUAACACGUGGGUAACCUACCUCAUAGUGGGGGAUAACAGUCGGAAACGACUGCUAAUACCGCAUAGGACAUAGGAGCACAUGAUCCAGUGAGGAAAGGUGGCGCAAGCUAUCGCGAAGAGAUGGACCCGCGGUGCAUUAGCUAGUUGGCAGGGUAAAGGCCUACCAAGGCGAUGAUGCAUAGCCGACCUGAGAGGGUGAUCGGCCACAUUGGGACUGAGACACGGCCCAAACUCCUACGGGAGGCAGCAGUAGGGAAUCUUCCGCAAUGGACGCAAGUCUGACGGAGCAACGCCGCGUGAGUGAAGAAGGUCUUCGGAUCGUAAAGCUCUGUUGUUAGGGAAGAACAGCGCAUAGAGUAACUGCUAUGCGUGUGACGGUAUCUAACCAGAAAGCCACGGCUAACUACGUG